rnacentral:misc_RNA from 1 species
AACUUUCAGCAACGGAUCUCUUGGCUCUCCCAUCGAUGAAGAACGCAGCGAAAUGCGAUAAGUAAUGUGAAUUGCAGAAUUCAGUGAAUCACCGAAUCUUUGAACGCACCUUGCGCCCUUUGGUAUUCCGAAGGGCAUGCCUGUUUGAGGGUCAUUAAAUUCUCAACCUUGAAAGGCUUGUCUUUUCAAUGGUUUGGAUGUGAGGGUUUUGCUGGCUUCCUUCAGUGGAUGGUCUGCUCCCUUUAAAAGCAUUAGUGGGAUCCUUUGUGGACGGUCACUUGGUGUGAUAAUUAUCUACGCCGUUUGCACUGUGAAGCAAAUCUUGUGGGAACCUGCUUAUAACCGUCUGUAAUGGACAAUUUUGAACCUUUGACCUCAAAUCAGGUAGGACUACCCGCUGAACUUAAGCAUAUCAAUAAGCGGAGGCU